rnacentral:tRNA from 1 species
UUUUAAAUAGCUUAAAAACAAAGCAUAAUAUUGAAGAUAUUAAGAUAACUUAAAGUUUUUAAAUA